UGAAAAGCAAUCUGGGUGCAAUGGGCAACUGCACCACUUUUCUCUGCACAGGUUAUGAUAAACCCCACCCAUUAUAUUUUAUAUGGAUAGUUUUGUGUGUAAGUGUGAAUGAGUUUGGUUAUUACAAGGGGCCUCUGAAAUUGGAGUAUUGCUGAUUUUGGAGUGCAUCUGAGGAGUGUUGCAAGAAAAAGGGGCUUUACAGCAACAAUUCCUGUGAUUAGAGCCCUACAUUAGGUCUCCUAAAUAACCUGCAUACCCUUAUCUCUGACAGGUUGGCAUAAGUCAUACUUGUGAUCUGAUUCAG